rnacentral:lncRNA from 1 species
CCUUUUCUGACGUGGCUUUGUCGCUUUCCGAUGCUUGAACUGGGUUCUUCGCUUGUCUUCUUUUUUCCUUGUUGCUCGAUCGCUCGCAACCUUGGUUGUUCGGUGAUCUUCAAGCUUUGACCGCUUGUCCGACUUCCCGGUGGAGAGGGGGAGGUACCUGCAAAAGGUACUCCGACGCCCAAGUCAGGCGUGUAUUGAAGAGCCUCGGCUCUUUAGAAAGUGAUUUGGUAUCACAGUAGAAUAUUUCUGAGUGUGAUUGGAGAGUAAUUUGAAAGUGAUUCGAAGAUGAUAGGAAGAUGAUUAGAAGGUCCCUGGCUUGUGCCCAUGGCUCUCUGAUAUAAGUCCAACAGAAUGUAAACAGAAAAUAAUAUAAACAAACUUACUUGAAAAUCUUGUUAGUUGCUAAAUAUCUUUAAAUAGAUAUUCUUUGAUUAUUUUAUAUCUUUAAUAAAAUAUAUCGUAACCGCUCGGCCCUGAUAUCAUAUUGUACAUUAUGCCCCCCAAGUCCGAGUUAAGCGUUAGGCUUUAGCCAUGGUUAACUGUAGGACUUAUGAGUUCGGGGGAGGUUGUUCUCGUUGUAUUGAGGAACUUGCUUUGCACGUGCUUCCGAGAAAGAUUUACUUCUUCGGCCUUCAACAUGAACCGAGAGGGAUUUACCUCUCGGCCUUCAAUAUGUAUGAACCGAGAGGGAUUUACCUCUUCGGCCUUUAUUAUGAACCGAGAGGGAUUUACCUCUUCGGCCUUUAACAUGAAUCGAGAGGAAUUUUACCUCUCGGUCUUAUUCAUUAACGAGAGGGAUUUACCUCUCGGGCGAGGGGGAUUUACCGCUCGGCCUUUGUUUUCAACUUUCUAGUUGACGAGAGGGAUUUACCUCUCGAUUUUUUCUUCAACGAGAGGAAUUUACCUCUCGGCCGAGAGGGAUUUACCACUCGGUCUUUGUUUUCAACUUUCUAGUUGACGAGAGGGAUUUACCUCUCAAUUUUUUCUUCAACGAGAGGAAUUUACCUCUCGGCCGAGAGGGAUUUACCACUCGGUCUUUGUUUUCAACUUUCUAGUUGACGAAAGGGAUUUACCUCUCGGUUUUUUCUUCAACGAGAGGGAUUUACCUCUCAGUCGAGAAGGAUUUACCGCUUGGUCUUUAAUAUAAACCGAGAGGGAUUUACCUCUUCGGCCUUCAACAUGAACCGAGAGGGAUUUACCUCUUCGGCCUUCAACAUAAACCGAGAGGGAUUUACCUCUUCGGCCUUCAACAAAAACUUUUGACGAGAGGGAUUCACCUCUCGGUCUUCAGUAUCAACGAGAGGAAUUUACCUCUCGGCCGAGGGGGAUUUAUCGCUCGGUCUUUAACUUCAGAUUCUUUUGGGGGGACUGUCUUUGAUUUAUAGUCCAUGGGGGAUUGUCCUUGAUUUAUAGUCCAUGGGGGACUGUCCUUGAUUUAUAGUCCAUGGGGGACUGUCCUUGAUUUAUAGUCCAUGGGGGACUGUCCUUGAUUUAUAGUCCAUGGGGGACUGUCUUUGAUUUAUAGUCCAUGGGGGACUGUCUUUGAUUUAUAGUCCAUGGGGGACUGUCUUUGAUUUAUAGUCCAUGGGGGACUAUCUUUGAUUUAUAGUCCAUUGGGGACUGUCUUUGAUUUAUGGUCUUGUGACCUGCAAGAUAUAUAAUAUAAAAAGUAUAGGCGAGAUCAUUCGGUCUUUGGUUAGAUGGCAAUAUCUCGUAAUAGUAUUUGAAAUGCCCUCUUCCCGCCUUUCUUCGAUGAAGGACCUGCAAACUUAGUUGUUUGUGAUAAUAAAAAUUUGAUUCACUUUUUUGGUGAAGUGAGAGUGGACCCCUUCGUAUAUAUUAUAUAACAUGUAUACAAUGAAUGUUUUGGUAAAAUAUACUAUGAAUUACACCGAGUAAAUAACACAUAAACAAGGCCUCAAAGCCGUCUUGAGAACUUAAAGGUAUUGGUAUUGAUAAUUAUCUCAAUAAUCCUUCUGAUUAUUUUGAUCAUAUCAAAUAUAUUUCGGUUUCAACAAUUAAAUAAUAUAUUUAUGGUUAUAUAUUACAUUUGGUGUAGUAUAUAUUUUAUACGACUAUAAUAUAUAUGGCAUGCCACAUACGACUAUAAAAUAAGGAUUGUAACAAUAAUCUUCUUUCGAAGUUUGAAAAGGAAACCUCUAUUAAUUAUGCGACGUGCAUCAGUAUAUAUUAUAUUAUAGAUAAAACAUUAUAUCUCUAAUGUUUAUAUAAUAGAUAUUAUAAUAUCUAAUAUUCAUAUUUUAUGGUGGUUUCAAAUGAUAUCUAGGCAGAUACUUUAUUGUUUUACUUUCAUAUAAAAUAUUCAUAUUUCAAAAUACUUAUCUUGUUGAUGACAAGUUGUGUAGCUUUUUGUUCUUCUGAAAAUUUUUGGUGUUGAUCCAAAGCAGUGAUGUUGAGACCGAACGCUUAGUCUUUGUUUCUGAUCAUCUCUAUGGUGUUUUGUUGUUCCUUCAUGCUCCUCGUGGUCGCCAUUUGGGUUUGUCGCUCGGCCCCACGGUGGGCGCCAAAAUGUUUCGGUAGGUAUUUUUGGGGACCGAGACACUAACCUUUUCUGACGUGGCUUUGUCGCUUUCCGAUGCUUGAACUGGGUUCUUCGCUUGUCUUCUUUUUUCCUUNUUGCUCGAUCGCUCGCAACCUUGGCUGUUCGGUGAUCUUCAAGCUUUGACCGCUUGUCCGACUUCCCGGUGGAGAGGGGGAGGUACCUGCAAAAGGUACUCCGACGCCCAAGUCAGGCGUGUAUUGAAGAGCCUCGGCUCUUUAGAAAGUGAUU